AUUGAACGCUGGCGGCAGGCCUAACACAUGCAAGUCGAACGAGUGGCGGACGGGUGAGUAAUGUCUGGGAAACUGCCUGAUGGAUGGGGUUAACUACUGGAAACGGUAGCUAAUACCGCAUACCAUCGGAUGUGCCCCGAUGGGAUUAGCUAGUAGGUGGGGUAAAGGCUCACCUAGGCGACGAUCCCUAGCUGGUCUGAGAGGAUGACCAGCCGCACGGGAACAGAGACACGGGCCAGACUCCUACGGGAGGCAGCAGUGGAGAAUAUUGCAAAAUGGGCGAAAGCCUGAUACAGCCAUGCCGCGUGUAUGAAGAAGGCCUUCGGGUUGUAAAGUACUUUCAGCGGGGAGGCGUUACCCGCAGAAGAAGCACCGGCUAACUCCGUGCCAGCAGCCGCGGUAAUUC
rnacentral:rRNA from 1 species